AGUGAACGCUGGCGGUAGGCCUAACACAUGCAAGUCGAACGGCAGCACAGUAAGAGCUUGCUCUUACGGGUGGCGAGUGGCGGACGGGUGAGGAAUACAUCGGAAUCUACUUUUUCGUGGGGGAUAACGUAGGGAAACUUACGCUAAUACCGCAUACGACCUACGGGUGAAAGCAGGGGAUCUUCGGACCUUGCGCGAUUGAAUGAGCCGAUGUCGGAUUAGCUAGUUGGCGGGGUAAAGGCCCACCAAGGCGACGAUCCGUAGCUGGUCUGAGAGGAUGAUCAGCCACACUGGAACUGAGACACGGUCCAGACUCCUAAGGGAGGCAGCAGUGGGGAAUAUUGGACAAUGGGCGCAAGCCUGAUCCAGCCAUACCGCGUGGGUGAAGAAGGCCUUCGGGUUGUAAAGCCCUUUUGUUGGGAAAGAAAGGCAGCAGGUUAAUACCCCGCUGUUCUGACGGUACCCAAAGAAUAAGCACCGGCUAACUUCGUG
rnacentral:rRNA from 1 species